AGUGAACGCUGGCGGUAGGCCUAACACAUGCAAGUCGAACGGUAGCACCGUAUGAGCGUGCUCUUACGGGUAGCGAGUGGCGGACGGGUGAGGAAUACAUCGGUAUCUACCUUUUCGUGUGGGAUAACGUAGGGAAACUUACGCUAAUACCGCCUACCACCUACGGGUGAAAUCAGGAGAUCUUCGGACCUUGCGCGAUCGCAUGAGCCGAUGUCGUAUUAGCUAGUUGGCGGGGUACAGGCCCACCAAGGCGACGCUCCGUAGCUGGUCUGAGAGGAUGAUCAGCCACACUGGAACUGAGACACGGUCCAGACUCCUACGGGAGGCAGCAGUGGGGAAUAUUGGACAAUGGGCGCAAGACUGAUCCAGCCAUACCGCGUGGGUGAAGAAGGCCUUCGGGUUGUAAAGCCCUUUUGUUGGGAAAGAAAAGCAGCAGGUUAAUACCCCGCUGUUCUGACGGUACCCAAAGAAUAAGCACCGGCUAACUUCGUG
rnacentral:rRNA from 1 species